rnacentral:rRNA from 1 species
GGAGCAAUCCUGUCAGUGGCAGACGGGUGCGUAACGCGUGGGAACCUACCCGGAGGUUCGGAGUAACUGCGGGAAACUGCAGCUAAUACCGGAUGUUGCCUGAGGGCUAAAGGAGCAAUCCGCCUUCAGAGGGGCCCGCGUCCGAUUAGCUAGUUGGUGGGGUAACGGCCUACCAAGGCUUCGAUCGGUAGCUGGUCUGAGAGGAUGACCAGCCACACUGGAACUGAGACACGGUCCAGACUCCUACGGGAGGCAGCAGUGGGGAAUAUUGGACAAUGGGGGAAACCCUGAUCCAGCAAUGCCGCGUGGGUGAUGAAGGCCUUCGGGUUGUAAAGCCCUUUUGGCGGGGACGAUGAUGACGGUACCCGCCGAAUAAGCCCCGGCUAACUUCGUGCCAGCAGCCGCGGUAAUACGAAGGGGGCUAGCGUUGUUCGGAGUUACUGGGCGUAAAGGGCGCGUAGGCGGUUUGCCAAGUCAGGCGUGAAAGCCCUGGGCUUAACCCAGGAACUGCGCUUGAUACUUGCAGACUAGAGUGUGGGAGAGGAUGGUGGAAUUCCCAGUGUAGAGGUGAAAUUCGUAGAUAUUGGGAAGAACACCAGUGGCGAAGGCGGCCAUCUGGACCAUCACUGACGCUGAGGCGCGAAAGCGUGGGGAGCAAACAGGAUUAGAUACCCUGGUAGUCCACGCCGUAAACUAUGUGCGCUAGACGCUGGGAAGCCUAGCUUCUCGGUGUCGCAGCUAACGCGUUAAGCGCACCGCCUGGGGAGUACGGUCGCAAGAUUAAAACUCAAAGGAAUUGAC